ACACACUCACACUCACUCCUACACGCAAUUUAGAGUCACUGAUCAGCUCCAUGUCCUUGAUAAGCCGAUGUACCAGAGUCAAAUUCCUCGUGUGUCAGACACACCUGGCCAAUAAAGCUGAUUCUGACUGUGGGCGGAAACUGGAAUAUGGUAACAUCUCAAAUAUUAUGUCAUGGCUGCUUGCUGCUCUCUCUCUCUCUCCUCCUGGCAGGUAAAUGGUGGUUCAGGUGUGGCUGAAGCAGCUGCAGCUAAUCCGCUCCAGCUCCAGCUCCUAUUUUACCAAUGGCAUCUGGAUAAUAUCCCCCUUGUGCUCCACCCCAUUCACUCGAUUUAUGCCAGUAUCCACACAGGCUUGCCAGCACAGAGGCUCAACAGACCACAGCAUCCAACAGUUAGGAACUCGGCACUGACUGGGUGUGGACCCAAGAGAUAACACAAUAGCUCCAGCUGACAACUAUCCGAAGGCCAGAGAUGGUGACAAGUGGUAAAAAGGAGAAGUCUGACUGGAGAAGAGAAGCCAGCCUAAUUUUCAGAAAUCCUUUAAAAACCACAGCAAAAAGAUUAACAGACAGAUUUUCAGCAGUUGCUGCUGGAGGCUCUGUUUGGUUUUUUUCUGAAUUCCAGAGGACUGAAAAAGCCCAGAGAAGCAACCCGGGAAGACACCUUGACAAUGGCUUCUGAAAGGGAACAUAUAGAGCCGCUACCUAGAGCAGGAAGUCAACAAUGGAUGUAACUGUUCAAUAAGAUUCCUCAUUUCAGCAAGAAAUGCAUGUGUUCCUACCUAGAGGAAUCGGCACUGGAAUUGUGAUUGAAAAACCACCAACUUGAACCAACCAUCAACUCGUGAUUAGUGAGAGAUUCUUUGACUUUUAUUCAGUAAU